rnacentral:tRNA from 1 species
GGAGAGGUGGCAGAGUGGUCGAUCGCGAUAGUCUUGAAAACUAUUGAGCAGCAAUGCUCCGUGGGUUCGAAUCCCACCCUCUCCGCCA